UGUCACAUCCUCGGCCAUCAGAUGUCC
rnacentral:piRNA from 1 species